CCAAAAUGGACAGCUCUGCUUGAAGAUCGAAGGACUCUGACAACAUUUUCAUCAAAUCCAUACAGUAUGAUUAACGCAGUGAUGCAGUGUUUUAUAACACUCAUUAAGGCCUUGAUCGUAUGCUUGAAACAUGGUAUUCAAAGACUGCUGGAUGCUAACUCGGUUGUCAUCAGCUGGUUAGUAUCCCCCUUCGUCCCUAAAAGAAGAUCAAGUCAAGCAGAAUCAGAGGAGUGGAAAACCAAUGAGAUCCUUCGCACGUUUCAUCCAGGAGAUGAGAAUGGGGUCAACGUUACAAUCCAAACCAGCUCACAUGCCUUCCAUGUGGACCUCCAAAGGCUUUCAGUGUGCAGCGAGUACUUCAGAGCGCUGUCCCAAUCCAGGAUGAGAGAGACGUCAGAAAGACUCAUUCAUCUGGAACAUGUGUCCUCUGACAUUUUCUACAACCUCCUUAUGUUCUGCUUCAAUAAUGAUUUUAAAGUUCCUGCAGAAGAAUUGGAG